UUAGGGUUAGGGUUAGGGUUAGAGUUAGGGUUCAGGUUAGGGUUAUGGUUAGGGUUAGAGUUAGGGAUUGGGUUGAUCUUAUGUUUAGGGUUAGGGUUCGGCUCACGGCACUGAGGGAUGCGCUAGGCAGCGUGACAUACCUUUCCAAACUGUCUGCCUCCCACAGCCUGUCCUGCACACACAGCUGAAUAUCAUGUGCCCUUCUCAGGCUCUUCUCUAUGCCAUGAUCCGGCUUUCCUGACAUAAUACCUCAAAAAUGGAGUAGAAGUUUCCUGCAGGCAGAGGUCAAACCUGUGUCCUUGCUGCCAACUGAAAAGCAAAUCGAUUGACAUCUUCUAGGAGGCAAUUGCACUCUUCGGUGCGUCUCUGCGUGGGAGGCAAUCGUGUGGCCCCAGCACUGACUGUCUGGCCUGGAAGUUAUUCUUCACUCCAG
rnacentral:lncRNA from 1 species